GACGAACGCUGGCGGCGUGCCUAAUACAUGCAAGUAGAACGCUGAAGGAGGAGCUUGCUCUUCUGGAUGAGUUGCGAACGGGUGAGUAACGCGUAGGUAACCUGCCUGGUAGCGGGGGAUAACUAUUGGAAACGAUAGCUAAUACCGCAUAACAGUAGAUGUUGCAUGACAUUUGCUUAAAAGGUGCAAUUGCACCACUACCAGAUGGACCUGCGUUGUAUUAGCUAGUUGGUGGGGUAACGGCUCACCAAGGCGACGAUACAUAGCCGACCUGAGAGGGUGAUCGGCCACACUGGGACUGAGACACGGCCCAGACUCCUACGGGAGGCAGCAGUAGGAAAUCUUCGGCAAUGGACGGAAGUCUGACCGAGCAACGCCGCGUGAGUGAAGAAGGUUUUCGGAUCGUAAAGCUCUGUUGUAAGAGAAGAACGAGUGUGAGAGUGGAAAGUUCACACUGUGACGGUAUCUUACCAGAAAGGGACGGCUAACUACGUG
rnacentral:rRNA from 1 species